CGCGCAUGUGCUCCCAGGCCCUGCCCGCCUGCAUUGAAAAGAGGACUGAGGGAAGAAAGGAAGAGAAGAAGGAAGGGGGAGAGAGAGAGGAAGAGGAGGAGAAGGCUGCAGACGAUCUGCUCAACCAGGAGUGACAGCACAAGCCACAAAUACUGGCAAUAGAGAACCGCACAAAAGAAAGAGGAGGAAUCCAACUCCACCACUUGCCACAUGCCUCGGAGGUCAGAUCAAGCCACAAAGGGAGUGACUGCUCUUUGCACACACCAUCAGCCCUGUCCACAUGAUUUACAAGCAGAAAAUACUGAA
rnacentral:lncRNA from 11 species